rnacentral:rRNA from 1 species
GACGGAGGGUGCUAGCGUUGUUCGGAAUCACUGGGCGUAAAGGGCGCGUAGGCGGCCUUGGCAGUCAGAUGUGAAAGCCCGGGGCUCAACCCCGGAAUUGCAUUUGAUACUCCAAGGCUGGAGGUCGGAAGAGGAGGGUGGAAUUCCCAGUGUAGAGGUGAAAUUCGUAGAUAUUGGGUGGAACACCGGUGGCGAAAGCGGCUCGCUGGUCCGAACCUGACGCUGAGGCGCGAAAGCUUGGGUAGCAAACAGG